rnacentral:lncRNA from 8 species
AUGUGUCUGUCUAUCCCUGUUCUCUCCCCUCUGCACAGGCCAUACAAACGCUUCACACCGCGUGGCCGCUGCCACUCUAACCUGGUGGUCCCAGCGCGCACGACCCACGUGGAGUUCCAGGUCUCCGGCAGCCUCUGGAACUGCCGGUCUGCAGCCAACAAGGCUGAGUUCAUCUCAGCCUAUGCUACCCUCCAGUCCCUAGACUUCCUGGCGCUGACGGAAACAUGGAUUACCACAGAUAACACUGCUACUCCUACUGCUCUCUCUUCGUCUGCCCACGUGUUCUCGCAUACCCCGAGAGCAUCGAGCCAGCGGGGUGGUGGCACUGGAAUCCUCAUCUCUCCCAAGUGGACAUUCUCUCUUUCUCCCCUGACCCAUCUGUCUAUCUCCUCAUUUGAAUUCCAUGCUGUCACAGUUACCAGUCCUUUCAAGCUUAACAUCCUUAUCAUUUAUCGCCCUCCAGGUUCCCUUGGAGAGUUCAUCAAUGAGCUUGACGCCUUGAUAAGUUCCUUUCCUGAGGAUGGCUCACCUCUCACAGUUCUGGGUGACUUUAACCUCCCCACGUCUACCUUUGACUCAUUCCUCUCUGCCUCCUUCUUUCCACUCCUCUCCUCUUUUGACCUCACCCUCUCACCUUCCCCCCCUACUCACAAGGCAGGCAAUACGCUUGACCUCAUCUUUACUAGAUGCUGUUCUUCCACUAAUCUCAUUGCAACUCCCCUCCAAAUCUCCGACCACUACCUUGUAUCCUUUUCCCUCUUGCUCUCAUCCAACACUUCUCACUCUGCCCCUACUCGGAUGGUAUUGCGCCGUCCCAACCUUCGCUCUCUCUCUCCCGCUACUCUCUCCUCUUCCAUCCUAUCAUCUCUUCCCUCUGCUCAAACCUUCUCCAACCUAUCUCCUGAUUCUGCCUCCUCAACCCUCCUCUCCUCCCUUUCUGCAUCCUUUGAUUUUCUCUGUCCCCUAUCCUCCAGGCCGGCUCGGUCCUCCCCUCCUGCUCCGUGGCUCGACGACUCACUACGAGCUCACAGAACAGGGCUCCGGGCAGCCGAGCGGAAAUGGAGGAAAACUCACCUCCCUGCGGACCUGGCAUCCUUUCACUCCCUCCUCUCUACAUUCUCCUCUUCUGUCUCUGCUGCUAAAGCCACUUUCUACCACUCUAAAUUCCAAGCAUCUGCCUCUAACCCUAGGAAGCUCUUUGCUAUCUUCUCCUCCCUCCUGAAUCCUCCUCCCCCCCUCAUCCCUCUCUGCGGAUGA